rnacentral:rRNA from 1 species
AGCGAACGCUGGCAGCAGGCCUAACACACGCAAGUCGAACGAAGUCUUCGGACUUAGUGGCGGACGGGUGAGUAACACGUGGGAACGUGCCUUUAGGUUCGGAAUAACUCAGGGAAACUUGUGCUAAUACCGAAUGUGCCCUUCGGGGGAAAGAUUUAUCGCCUUUAGAGCGGCCCGCGUCUGAUUGGCUAGUUGGUGAGGUAAAGGCCCAGCAAGGCGACGAUCAGUAGCUGGUCUGAGAGGAUGAUCAGCCACAUUGGGACUGAGACGCGGCCCAAACUCCUACGGGAGGCAGCAGUGGGGAAUCUUGCGCAAUGGGCGAAAGCCUGACGCAGCCAUGCCGCGUGAAUGAUGAAGGUCUUAGGAUUGUAAAAUUCUUUCACCGGGGACGAUAAUGACGGUACCCGGAGAAGAAGCCCCGGCUAACUUCGUGCCAGCAGCCGCCGUAA